UCCCUGGAGGACUAGUGGUUAGGCAUCGGUGCUCUCGCUGCCGCAGCCCGGGUUUGAUUCCCGGCCAGGGAA
rnacentral:tRNA from 1 species